rnacentral:rRNA from 1 species
CGCAGCUACCAUGCAGUCGAACGGCAGCACAGNGGAGCUUGCUCCNUGGGUGGCGAGUGGCGGACGGGUGAGGAAUACAUCGAGAAUCUACUCUGUCGUGGGGGAUAACGUAGGGAAACUUACGCNUAAUACCGCAUACNACCUACNGNUGANAGCCGGGGAUCUUCNGACCUUGCGCGAUUGAAUGAUCCGAUGUCGNAUUAUNCUAGUUGGCGGGGCUANAAGGCCCACCACANGCGACGAUCNUGUAUCUGGUCUGAUAGGAUGAUC